rnacentral:lncRNA from 1 species
AUAUUUAAAAUAAGACUUAUACAAAUAUCUAAAAUGAGUUUCACAUAUACAAUGUGAAUCUAAUUUAAUUAAAAUCAUUACUCUAUGUGAAAUAAUUUAUAAUUACAGGAGAAGGUGCUUAAAAUACCACAUACAAGGUGAAAGAAAAGGAUCGGUGGACAAGUUCAUCGAUAAUUUACCGGGUCCACCUGACAAUAUCCUAUACGAUGGCGAAGAACAUUAUUGGAUUGCAUUGCCUAUGGUAAUUCAAUUCUUACAUUUUAUAUUAGAUUAGUGUUAAUUCAAUCUAAAUGUUACGGUAUAGUGUGACACCUUUGAAACAUUGCAUUUUGGCAGGGAAACUCAUUGGCUUGGGAUUUGGCAUUGAAAUAUCCUUGGAUCCGAAAGGUUGUGGCAAUCAUGGAGAGGUACAAAGUAAGGCCUCAUAUAGAGAAAAAUGGAGGGGUUUUGGCUGUUGAUUUGGAAGGAAAACCAACUGCAUAUUAUUAUGAUCCUAGUUUGUCAGAGGUUACAAGUGGUGUGAAGAUUGGGAAUUAUUUAUAUUGCGGUUCCAUUACAAAACCAUACAUGAUCCGCCUCGAUCUUCAUCAACAUGCUGCGCGUGCCACCAUGUGACUGAGCGAGUGGCCCUUGUUGAAAUCAUGGAGAUGCAAAGAAAAAGCUUUAAUUAAGGAAAGUCGGCAUGCAGUUUUUAGAAGAUGGUCCUAAUAACAAUGGAGGAAGACUAUGGUAUGACACGGAUCAGCUACCAAAGUCCCUCAUAGAAAUGUUGUGUGGGGUUGAAUUGAUUGUAAAUCCUAUGAAUUGCAAUGGUUGAUUGGGUGCAAAUCGUAUGAUAGGGUCCAUCCCAAAGUUCAUGCAAACAGAUUUAAUAUUUAGGUCUUGACUUUAAGGAAACAGGCACUUGCUAACAAUCAUAAAGAUCUUCAUUCGCACUGACUUCCCUGUUAGAGCUUGUUGCCUAACCUCAUGGAGUGAGCUUGAAGUAUACAGCUAAAAUUUCAUCCCUUAAAAGAUGUUUCUAUUAUUUAAUAACUUAAUUUAAGUCAUUACAUAUAUUAAAGAUAAAAUAAUUUAUUAUCAUAAUUUAACUGAAAAAUAACUUUAAAUAUUAAGUUAAAAUAGUUAAAUUAUUUUUAAUCUCAAAUAUCNNNNNNNNNNNNNNNNNNNNNNNNNNNNNNNNNNNNNNNNNNNNNNNNNNNNNNNNNNNNNNNNNNNNNNNNNNNNNNNNNNNNNNNNNNNNNNNNNNNNUUAUAUUAUUAUGACUUUAUAUUCAAAUUUCAUCUUUUAUAGUAAAUUUUUUUGUAGUUAUUUUAUGCAUCCAUAAUACUUUAAAUAUGAAUAUUUAAUAAAAUAAAUUUAUUACUUAAAAUGGAUAAAAAUAUAAUUAUAUAUAAAAACUAAUGAGGGUAAAUAUGUCAACUUGAUGAUUUUAAAUAAAUUUUAUCAAAUAAUCUUAAAAUAAAAAUUAAGUGAUAAACUUUAAGUCAAUAAUUUAAUUUAAAAUUAAUUUAAAUUAUUAAAUAUUAAAUAUUAAAUUUUACCAAAUACCUACUUAAUAAUAAACCAGAAGAAUGCAUUCCAUAGGUCAAGUUGAGCGUCUAAAUAAAUAAACAAAUAAGAUUUUUAUAUGCUCUUAUUUUUUAAAUCAAGCAGGUUUGCCCUCUUCAUUACUUUACUCCUACACGUUGCUACUCCGUUUUAUUCUUCUUCUUCUUCUUUUGCACCACCAAUGGCAGACCCAACGCCUUCUCAGAGUAGCAUGGCUCGGAGAAGCUCAUCGUGGCCUUUGGGUCUUCUCACUUUGAUCUUGGCUCCAGUUGCAGCAGCCAUGCUUCUCUACCAACUCGACCCCUAUGACCCAGCUCCUGUCCCCAUCCACGAGUUUUCACAGCAACCCAUGGUCGUGCCCAAGCUCAACUCUCGUAUGCUACAAGGAUCGGAGAUGAUUGGGGUUGGGAAGCUUUUGGGUCCAGAGGACAUUGCCUACCAUCCCGACUCACACCUCAUCUACACCGGUUGUGCUGAUGGCUGGGUCAAGCGAGUCACCUUGAACGAUUCCGUGGUGCAGAACUGGGCUUUCACCGGAGGACGACCCCUCGGCGUCGCUCUCGGCCGCCACGGUCAGCUGAUCGUCGCUGAUGCCGAAAAGGUAAGUAGAUGAUUUUCUGUUUCCCGUUUACUUUGACUGUUUUUUUCAUUUUUAUUUUUUGUUUUCUUUAAAAAAAAAAACAUAUUAAUUUCUCUUAGAAAAUAUUAAAAAAAGCAACAAUUUUUUGUCAUUUUAAAAUUUUAAUUAAAUUAAUUACACUCUAUUCAUUCUUUAAUAUUUUACACAGCGAUAACUUCUAAUUUCAUUUUAAUUAAUAAUUAACAAUAUUUUGAUAAAACAAAAAAUAAGGGAAAAUACUUUGCUAUUUUUUAUUUUAUUAUCUUUUAAUACGUGAAUUUUCUAUUUUAAAAUUAAUUAUCACUUCCAAGGAGAUUGUGAAAGGAUGUUGAAAAUAAUAUUUUUGAAAAUUAAAUUAUGAAAACAAUAUUUAGGUUUAAAAUAAUUGGAGCAAUUAAAAUCUAAGCUCAAAUUUCUAUCAAACUUUGUUGACCAAAAAUAAAUACAAUAGUAGUAAAUUUCGUUAAGAAAAUGAUCACACGUGGCAGGGUCUAUUGGAGGUAACUACAGAUGGUAUGGUGAAGACGUUGACCGAUGAGGCUGAGGGUAUAAAAUUCAAACUAACCGACGGUGUGGAUGUCGCGGUUGAUGGCGUGAUUUAUUUUACGGAUGCUUCCUAUAAAUAUAGCUUGAAAGAAUACAUUUGGGACAUUUUUUAGAGGGUAGGCCCCAUGGUAGACUAAUGAGUUUUGACCCAUCAACUAAAGAGACCAAAGUGCUGGUUCGGGACCUGUUCUUCGCUAAUGGAGUUAUCGUCUCACCCGAUCAAAAUUCCGUGAUAUUCUGUGAAAGUGUCAUGUACGUUUCUCACUCACUUCCUAAAGUCUUUUUAUAGAAGAGAAUUUAUAUCAAAGUCGUGUUUUUUAUGUUUAAAACCUAAUUGUGAAUUAAGGUCAAUAGGAGUCGUUCCAAUUGAGUAGAGGGUACUACAGAGUUCUUAGUAUCAAGUGAGGUGGGCGCUCCCCCGACUAUAAGUCAAGCCAAUGAUUUUCGUUUUAUGGAAGCAAUUAAAACCACCAUCUUGCUAAAAUAUUUAAACUAAGACUUUUACAAACAUUUAAAAUGAGUUUCGCAUAUACAAUGUGAAACUAAUUUAAUUUUUUAUAAAAUCAUUAUCUUAUGUGAAAUGAUUUAUGAUUGCAGGAAAAUGUGCUUAAAAUAUUACAUACAAGGUGAAAGAAAAGGAUCCAUGGAUAAGUUCAUCGAUAAUUUAUCGGGUACACCUGAUAAUAUUCUAUAUGAUGGCGAAGGACAUUAUUGGAUUGCAUU